rnacentral:rRNA from 1 species
UGGGGAAUAUUGGACAAUGGGCGAAAGCCUGAUCCAGCCAUGCCGCGUGAGUGAUGAAGGCCCUAGGGUUGUAAAGCUCUUUCACCGGGGAAGAUAAUGACGGUACCCGGAGAAGAAGCCCCGGCUAACUUCGUGCCAGCAGCCGCGGUAAUACGAAGGGGGCUAGCGUUGUUCGGAAUUACUGGGCGUAAAGCGCACGUAGGCGGACUAUUAAGUCAGGGGUGAAAUCCCGGGGCUCAACCCCGGAACUGCCUUUGAUACUGGUAGUCUAGAGUUCGAGAGAGGUGAGUGGAAUUCCGAGUGUAGAGGUGAAAUUCGUAGAUAUUCGGAGGAACACCAGUGGCGAAGGCGGCUCACUGGCUCGAUACUGACGCUGAGGUGCGAAAGCGUGGGGAGCAAACA